rnacentral:rRNA from 1 species
AUUGAACGCUGGCGGCAUGCUUUACACAUGCAAGUCGAACGGCAGCGCGGGCUUCGGCCUGGCGGCGAGUGGCGAACGGGUGAGUAAUGCAUCGAAACGUGCCCAGUAGUGGGGGAUAGCCCGGCGAAAGCCGGAUUAAUACCGCAUACGACCUGAGGGUGAAAGCGGGGGACCGAAAGGCCUCGCGCUAUUGGAGCGGCCGAUGUCGGAUUAGCUAGUUGGUGGGGUAAAGGCUUACCAAGGCGACGAUCCGUAGCUGGUCUGAGAGGACGACCAGCCACACUGGGACUGAGACACGGCCCAGACUCCUACGGGAGGCAGCAGGGGGGAAUUUUGGACAAGGGGGGCAACCCUGAUCCAGCCAUGCCGCGUGCGGGAAGAAGGCCUUCGGGUUGCAAACCGCUUUUGUUCGGGAAGAAAUCCUCUGGGCUAAUACCCCGGGGGGAUGACGGUACCGGAAGAAUAAGCACCGGCUAACUACGU